rnacentral:lncRNA from 1 species
UUUUUUUUUUUUUUUUAGGUAUGAUAAUAGUGUUGUGGCUACUUUUAAAAAAUAGUCCUUAUCUUUAGAGGCAUGUGUUGAAGUAUUUAUGGAAGAAAUGAUAUGAGUUGGGGAUUUGCUUCAGUAUAUCAUGGGAGGGGAGAACUGGAUGAGGUUUACCUGAAAUGGGACUUAUCUGAGCGGAUUGUUGAAGCUAUUGGCAUGCUGCCCGUCAACAUCAGACUCUCUCUAUAUCAGUAAACAGCCAAAAGUUUGUUUAAAAAGUUUUUAUAGACCAUAUAAAGUGAUAGCUUAGGUGACAGUUCCCAUUCUUUUAUCUCCCAUGGUUAAUUACAGCAGUUUGGUGCAUGCACCUCUAGACCUUUGCUAUGCAGAUGCUAGGUAUAUUGCAGAUACAUAUACACUUAAAACAGGAAUGAGCUACCACUGUACACACCAUUUUCCCACUAGCGUUUAUUUUUAUUUUUUAAAAAUAUUUUAUUUAUUUGAGAGAGAGCACAAACAGGGAGAGAGGCAAAGAGAGAGGGAGAAGCAGACUCCUUGCCGAGCAGGUAGCUCAAUGUGGGGCUCCAUCCCAGGACCCUGGGAUCAUGACCUGAGCUGAAGGCAGAUGCUCAACUGACUGAGCCACCCAGGCACCCCUCCCACUAGCAUUUAAACUUCACCAUAUUUUGCAGAUGGUUGGCAACUUCAAAACGCUCUCAUUCCUUAAUAGCUUGGUGGCACUCCCCUGUCUUAAAGAACCAUAAUUUAUUUAUCUGAUGCUUUAAUGGUGGAUAGAUGGCACAUCUCCAAUUUUCUGCUCUUAAGAACAAUGAUGCAGUGAACAUCCUUGUACAUAAUAUAUCUUUGUGUAUCUAUGUGAGUACUUCUACAAGCUUUCUAGAAGUGGAAUCAUUAGGUUAAAAGGCGUGCAUAUCUAAAAUUUUAAUAGAAUGACUAAAUUGCCCUUGUUGUAGACUUUGUAUUUCUAAUGUAUGACAUUCUCUUCCAGAACAUAUCUCCGGACUAUUGUCAUUUGGUGCCUGCAGUAGAAAAGCAACAUAGAGUCACAGCCAGAAGGGGUCUCUAAGAUCUUCAGCUUUUGCUUCCAAGGUAGCCACCUGAGCCUUCUCAUCUGUAAACUGGGAGUAAUAUUAAUCCCACCUGUCAAUUGGGGAAGGGCUAGGAGGCUUUUCUCGAUGCUCCAUUUGUACCAUUGUAAUUAAAGUAUAUGCUCAUUUGGGGUGGCAUGGGGGACACUGAUGUAGGAUGAGGGGGGAGGGUACAAAGACCCCCACUAGGCACCAUUUGGCACUGCCAGAGAUAACUUCAAAUGGGGAUAGUUGGGUUUAGUGAGGUUCUAUGUGAUGGAUACCCAGCACCCAGCCCAGAGCCCGGCACACUGCCAGUGCUCCACACUCACAAAUUCCCUAAGAGCUGACAUGAUGGCUGACAGGAGCUACACCAGAACCAGGAAGACUGACUUUUUUGAAAGACUGGCCAGGCCAUCUGGGCCAAUGGCAGAGUUGAGAAGUUCCCAUAGAAACCAUAGUAUAGCUUGCAAAGCCUAAAACAUUCACUAUCUGGCUAUUGAUGGAAAAAAACUGCCAACCUCAGCGCAUGAGUUGUAGGCAUAAUAAUAAAUAUAGUUUUUAAGUGCUUACUAUGUUUCUGGCACCAUUCUGAACAUGUCACGUAUAUAAAUUUAUUCAGUCCUCACAGUAACCCUAUGAGGUAGAUUCUAUUUCUGGUAGCUAGUCUCAAAGAUGGCCCUAGUGAACCACAUCUCCUGGGAUUCAUGCCCUUGUGUGGCUUCCUCCCACAAGUGGGACAGUCUUGCAAUGACUAAUAGAACACAGAUGUGACAGUGUACCAGUGCCAGGCUUAGUCUUUAAGAUGACCGGUGCUUCUACUUCCUCCAUCUUGGAACACUCUGGGGGACGGAGAGAUGGCACUGAAGAGAUGUGGGGAAAGGCCACGGGGAAGAGAGGAGGCUCAGAGACUGGAAGAAUAGGGAGUGGCCAGAUGGCCUGGUUAGGGGGUUAUGGACCAGCCUGGUGACCAUCUGCACUUGCAUGAAACACCCCCAGAUCAGACCAGCAGAACUGCUUGCUGAGCCCAGGGAGCUCAUAGAACUGUGAGAGGCAAUCAAAUGGUUCAGCCACUAGUUCUGUAGGGGUGCAGUGGUUUUCUGCAGCAACACCCACCUGAGACAUGAUCUCUACUGGGACUCUCCCAGGUCUGUCUGAGUUCAAAGCCUUUUCCUCUCCACUCUGAACUAGUGGUCUGUGCCCCUGCAUGGACACUGAGAUCCCACAGAGCUCUUCCAGAUGCCGAUUAAAUCAGAAUAUCUAGGAAUGAAGGCCCACAGUAGGUAUUUUUUAAAUCCUGCAGGAUUUGAGAAACAAGGCCCUAUCCACCAUUUCCAAAACUUGCCUAAAAACAAGAAAUGCCUGGCACAUUUUUUUUUUUUAAACAGAUUCCUGAGCUCCAACAGAUACACUGAUUCAGAAUUUCCAUGGGAGCACCCUGGUAAGCUGCAGAGUUAACGUGUUCCCCCAGGUAAAUCUUAUUAUCAACUGUAGAAGAAAAAAGGGAGAGAGGCAAGCCAGCUCCCAGGUUGGAAGGACUGUUUGGCAGUUUCCUGUUAAGCAUGACACCAAACAACGCAGCUAUCCCCCUUCUGUUGGGUGUUCCCAACAGAAAUGAGUACUUACAUCUGCCAAAAGGCACGCAUGAGGAUGUCCCUAAAAGCUUUAUUCACAAGGUCCCAAACUGGAAACAUCCCCAGUGGCUAUCCACAGGAGCAUGGCUAGACGAAUUGUAGUAGGGCCACAUAACGGACUACGGGGUAGCAGUGAGAAAGCGUGAAGUAGUGACAAAGACCACAACACAGAUGCAUCUCACAGGCCUACUGUUGAGUGUGAAAAGCCAGGCACAGAGAGUGUAGGUUCUACUUGUAUACAGCUCAAGGACUGUCCAGACUGACCUGCAGUGAUAGGGAUCAAAUAGUGGGUAUUUCUGUGUUUGUGUCUAUGUGUGGGAGGGAGGUUCUAGAGCUUGAUGAGAGAGUAGAUAAGUGUGUGCUCUGCUCCCUCCUAGGAUGCCAUGCACACAGCAGGACUUACCCUGCAUUUGGAGCCUACUCGAGAGGCUUUCGCUUGCUUGCUCCUGUGUUUAUUGCUUAUUUGAGACAUAAGUUAUACACCGAGACGUAUAUAUACAACAAAGGGAGCAAUCUUAAGUAUACGGCCCAG